GGGCACCUAGCUCAUCUGGCUAGAGCACUCCGUUGACGUCGGAGAGGUGACAGGUUCGAAUCCUGUGGUGCCCACCA
rnacentral:tRNA from 1 species